CCUACGGGAGGCAGCAGUGAGGAAUAUUGGUCAAUGGCCGUAAGCCUGAACCAGCGAAGUCGCGUGAAGGAAGAAGGAUCUAUGGUUUGUAAACUUCUUUUGUAGGGGAAUAAAGGUAUCCACGUGUGGAUCUUUGCAUGUACCCUAUGAAUAAGCAUCGGCUAACUCCGUGCCAGCAGCCGCGGUAAUACGGAGGAUUCGAGCGUUAUCCGGAUUUAUUGGGUUUAAAGGGUGCGUAGGGUGUAUUGUAAGUCCGCGGUGAAAGUUUGUGGCUCAACCAUAAAAUUGCCGUUGAAACUGGAAGACUGGAGUGUGUUUGAGGUAGGCGGAAUGCGUGGUGUAGCGGUGAAAUGCAUAGAUAUCACGCAGAACACCGAUUGCGAAGGCAGCUUACUAAGCCAUAACUGACGCUGAAGCACGAAAGCGUGGGGAGCAAACAGGAUUAGAUACCCCGGUAGUC
rnacentral:rRNA from 1 species